UACGGAGGGUGCAAGCGUUGUUCGGAAUUACUGGGCGUAAAGAGUGCGUAGGCGGCUUGGCAAGUUGGAAGUGAAAUCCCGGGGCUUAACCCCGGAAUUGCUUUCAAAACUGCUUAGCUAGAGUAUGGUAGGGGAUAGUGGAAUUCCUAGUGUAGGAGUGAAAUCCGUAGAUAUUAGGAGGAACACCAGAGGCGAAGGCGACUGUCUGGGCCAUUACUGACGCUAAGGUACGAAAGCGUGGGGAGCAAACAGG
rnacentral:rRNA from 1 species